UUGCACUCUAAGCAGACUUCCUAGGUAGCUCUGAAACAGGUGGUCUGUAGACCACACUUUAAGAAUUAUCUUCAAGGAUUGGGCUAGUUUUAGUUUGUAGUGAUUUCUUGUGUCUCUUAAUGAAGGCCUAGACAAUAUAGUCUGGAUUGAUUGGAUAAACACAGAGGAACAAGAGAGCGGCAGAAUUGUACCAUGCAUGCAGCAGGCCAUGCUCUACACGGGCCUCUCAGGAUGCAGCAGAGAGAUAUACAGGCUUUUUGGAAUACUGAUGUGAGUGUAGAGGCCAGAAAAAUGAAGCUAGGUGGUAUUGGAGGAGAAUCUCUG
rnacentral:lncRNA from 10 species